rnacentral:rRNA from 1 species
UACGAAGGGGGCUAGCGUUGCUCGGAAUUACUGGGCGUAAAGCGCACGUAGGCGGCUUGUUAAGUCAGGGGUGAAAUCCUGGAGCUCAACUCCAGAACUGCCUUUGAUACUGGCGAGCUUGAGUUCGGGAGAGGUGAGUGGAACUGCGAGUGUAGAGGUGAAAUUCGUAGAUAUUCGCAAGAACACCAGUGGCGAAGGCGGCUCACUGGCCCGAUACUGACGCUGAGGUGCGAAAGCGUGGGGAGCAAGCAGG